rnacentral:lncRNA from 1 species
UGGAGUGUUCGGUGCUAACUAGGAAGGACCCUAUCGAAUCAGAUGUGGACUCUUUGGAGAGACACAUUUCUUGGAGCACUUGCAGGGAAAGCUCGUCUCGGAGGUAUAUAUUAUGGAGGAUUGUGAGAGAAGACUUAGGGCAAGCUCCAUGUUACAGGUUGAAGGCUGAAGUCCCCGAACACACUCCGGGGUAUAGGUCGGAGACUCAGGACAAGCUCCGAGUAUAGGCAAGAGAUCCAGGACAGGCUCCGAGUGCAGGUCGGAGACACAAGAUAAGUUCCGAGUUCGGGUCAGAAACCCUGGACAUGUUCUUAGAUACAGGUUGAAGGCGCAAGACAAGCCCAAGGAUACAGGUCGAAGACCGAAGAUCCAGAACAAGACCGAGAAUGCAAGUCGAAGCCCAAAGACCUAGAACAAGACGCAGGAUGUAAGUUGAAGACCGAGGACAAAUACCAACAUAUAAGUUGUUGACCUGGACAAAACUAUGAAACCUGAGACGAGCUAUGAGUAAAAUAUUGGAGGCCAGAGGUAUAAUUUGAGCUUAAUAUCUUGGAGACGACAUUUGUUCUAGGCGCG